GGGCGAAUAGUUCAGUGGAUAGAAUAUUUCCUUGCGGAGGAAAUGACCGGGGUUCGAGUCCCCGUUCGCCCU
rnacentral:tRNA from 1 species